GUUGAAACACCAGUUCCCGCACGAUCAUCGAAGUUAAGCAACGUCGAGCCUGAUCAGUACCUAGAUGGGUGACCGCUUGGGAAUGCCAGGUACAGUA
rnacentral:rRNA from 1 species